AUUGAACGCUGGCGGCAUGCUUUACACAUGCAAGUCGAACGGCAGCGCGGGCUUCGGCCUGGCGGCGAGUGGCGAACGGGUGAGUAAUGCAUCGGAACGUGCCCAGUAGUGGGGGAUAGCCCGGCGAAAGCCGGAUUAAUACCGCAUACGACCUGAGGGUGAAAGCGGGGGACCGAAAGGCCUCGCGCUAUUGGAGCGGCCGAUGUCGGAUUAGCUAGUUGGUGGGGUAAAGGCUUACCAAGGCGACGAUCCGUAGCCGGUCUGAGAGGACGACCAGCCACACUGGGACUGAGACACGGCCCAGACUCCUACGGGAGGCAGCAGUGGGGAAUUUUGGACAAUGGGGGCAACCCUGAUCCAGCCAUGCCGCGUGCGGGAAGAAGGCCUUCGGGUUGUAAACCGCUUUUGUUCGGGAAGAAAUCCUCUGGGCUAAUACCCCGGGGGGAUGACGGUACCGGAAGAAUAAGCACCGGCUAACUACGUG
rnacentral:rRNA from 1 species